UCUCUUCAGAGAGAGAAAGAGGGAGAGGUUUUUUCUUUGGGGGGGUUUAGUUGUGUUGGGGUUGAAAACAUUAUGUCAUGGUGGUGAUGGCUGCAGCCACAACUUGCCCAAGUUCGUAUUCUCUCAGAUUUUUAAUUAGUAAACUAGUCACUAGCCCUUAUCAACCCUUCUUCUUCCUUUUAAUGUGUUGACAAAAAGAAGGAACAGGUAGUUUUGUGACCUUUUUGUUUCUCUCGUUUUCAUUUAUUUCUUGGGUUUUAUGUGAGGGGGAGAGAGGGAGAGAGAUCACCAUGGUUUUUGGGGUUCACACAAAUUUCAGAGGCUCGUGUUGCGAGGUGUGAAGCGUGUAGUGUUUUUUUCUUCAUUUUUUCUCCUCCAGGACUCUAGUUUGACGUGCUUCGCCUCUGCGGAAGAGAAUCACGAAGAGAAACUUGUCUGUGUUUUUGAGAUCUCAAACUAGGGCGGGAGACCAGACCAGGAUGAAAGGAAGGUUGAAGGAGCGAGAGUUAGAGAAAGAAAGAGGGGUUUUUGUUUAGUUUGUGGUGCUUUUUGUUAGUUGCCGACAGAGGCCUUGGCGAUCAUGGCGAGGCGGCAUGGAUGGCAGCUCCCUGCUCACACAUUUCAGGUGGUAGCUAUUACCGUGUUCUUCUUACUGGUUGUUGCAUUCUAUGCCUUUUUCGCACCAUUUCUUGGCAAAAAUGUGUUUGAGUACGUGGCUAUGGGAGUUUAUACUCCAGUGGCCCUCUUGGUUUUCAUAUUGUAUGUUCGAUGCACAGCUAUUGAUCCUGCAGAUCCAGGCAUCCUGAUCAGCCCUGAGGAACGAUUGGCUGGUAAAAAGGCUCCAGGAGAACCUGCAGAGAUAGAGUUAAUGCACACAGGAAAUCCUGCUAAGAAGAAAUUUGAUUGUUGUUCUUGCAUUGGAGGUUUUCUUUGUGGGUGGCUGGUUAAGGAGGACUGCCGGAAAGAUGAAGACAUUGAUCAGCAAGAAGCCAAUGAAGAAGAUGCUCUAUUCUGCACAUUGUGCAAUGCAGAGGUGCGAAAGUUCAGCAAGCAUUGCAGAAGUUGUGACAAAUGUGUGGAUGGUUUUGAUCACCAUUGCCGUUGGCUGAAUAAUUGUGUCGGGAGGAAAAACUAUAUUACCUUUAUUUCCUUGAUGGCUAGCAGUCUUAUUUGGCUCAUGGUGGAGUCUGGAAUUGGUAUUGCGGUCCUUGUCCGAUGUUUCGUUGACAAAAAAGAAACCGAGAACCAAAUAAUUGAUAGGCUUGGUAAUGGGUUUUCUCGGGCUCCGUUUGCGAUAGUUGUGGCAUUGUGUACGGCUGUGUCCUUGCUUGCUUCCAUACCUCUGGGAGAAUUGUUCUUUUUUCAUAUGAUACUGAUUCGAAAGGGUAUCACCACUUAUGAAUAUGUGGUUGCAAUGAGGACACAAAGUGAGCCACCUGGUCCCUCUGUAGAUGGAGAUCAGCAAAGUGUACCACCUUCACCAACUAGUUCUGCUGCCACUGGCUUAAGUGGAGGAAGUUCUCUAGGUCUAGGGUUGCAAUACAAGGGGGUUGCUUGGUGUACGCCACCGAGAAUAUUUGUUGAUCAGGAUGAGAUAAUCCCUCAUUUGGAACCUGGAAGAGUUCCUUCGACGGUUGAUCCAGAUGCUCUUGGGAAUCCAGAUGGUGGGAAAAGAGUGCCUAAACGACAAGUUAGAAUCAGUGCAUGGAAAUUAGCUAAAUUGGACUCCAAUGAGGCCAUGAAGGCAGCUGCCAAAGCUAGAGCUUCAUCUUCUGUGCUUCGACCGAUCAGUGCACGACAGAAUGCUGAUUCAGGAUACUGUUCUAGUGAAAAUGCAAGCAGUAUCAGUGUCGAACUUGGUCCUCCUAAGGAUGCCCGAAGCCAUAGGUUAUCUUUGAAGAAUUCAUACCCGCCAAGUCGGGCUAGCAGGGAUGACAUUGAAGCUGGAACUCGAAGUGUCAGCAGUGUAAGCAGUCCUGCCCAUACAAAUGGAUCAGCGGCUCUCAGUCCGUUGCCUACUGCCUCUCCUGAUGCUGGGAAGAUGCCGUUCACUGUGGGUAAAUUGAUGACAAACAGGGAACACUUUAACCCAAUUUAUCAGCCAUCUGCUGGUCGAUCACCAUGGUCAGCUAAGGCUGGUGAUGCCGGUGAAAAUAUUCUAAGUCAUGCUCUUGAUGAAAAAUUGGUGAAAAAGAACAGAGGAAAUAUCAGAGAGAACCAAAGGCCUUCUGUCUUCUGGGAUCAAGCAGCAGGUCGCUAUGUUUCAGUGCUUCCAUCUGGUGGAGAUUCCCGUCCUUUUGGAAACAGAGCCAGCUCUUCUCACAUUAUGGAACCCGAGAUUUCUACUGCUGCAGCAGUUUUUCAGCCGGAGCCACCAAAGCGUGCUCCUUACAAGCCUGCAGCCAUGGGGGAACAACCAAAGGCCCUUUCAGGGACAUCAACACAGACAGAGAACCUAGUUUGUACAGAGCAGUCUAUCUUCUUUGGUGGUCCUUUGUUAGUGGCAGAUGGAACAGAAAGUGCUAGGUUCCGUGCUUCAUCAAGGCCUACACAAGAAAGUGCAUCAAGCUCAUGGAUUCCAGAGGGAAGAGCAGGGAAGGGCAAAGGGUCUGAUCAAUUUCCUGUUUUUGUCCCAAAGGAUUCUGAAGCAUCCCAUUCCGGCUUGCCUUGAAACCUUUGAUGUUUUGUUGAUGAUGUGUGUCCCUGGAAGCAAAGAUGACGAGGAAAUGGCUUUCCUGUUGAUUGACAGGGAUGGUUUUUUAUUGGAUCUGAGCUUUGAGCUUCAAACAGGCUGUGGUGAUCAAAAUUCAGAAUUGAGACAUGUCCGAGUUGCACUCCUGGUUCAGAGUGAAAUUUCUUGUUCCGUAGGUUGAUCUGUUGUUUGCUGCUCCUAUUUGGGAAAUUUAACGUACUUGGAAGAUACAUUCCACGAACUUGGAGCUGCAUUUGGCACGGGGAAUUCAAUCUUGGCAGCUGCCCAUCUUCACAAGUGAUGCACAGAUACUGCGCAGCGCAUGCUUAUGUGGGUUUUCUGCUCAUUCUGGACCUGCCCCUUUUGAGCAGCAAAGCCAGGUGCCAGUACUCCUUCCGUUGCUAAUCUUCUUUCUUUAGUGCAUAUCUGUGAAAUCGACCAUGGAAUGUUGUAGACUGCAGCUGCAACCAUGUACAUUGUAAUGCCUAAUCCGCUGAACUCUUCUAUCUUGUCGUGAUUUUCCUUGGAUCAACAAAGAUGACAAUACUUCUGGCUGAGCAAGAUUAUUACUAAUCACUAGCUGGGAAAGUGUCCAACACUUCUCCCCCUCUUCUUGAACCCCAAGGUCCAAGGUUGAAUCAGUAUCCCUGAGGAGAAAAUGUAUUGGUACUGCACUUCAUUUUAUAUAGCAUAAGAGAGGAGCAUAGUGCUUAUGGGAAUUGAACAAACAAUGCAUCUUUUCUGAGCUGCCAAACCGACCAACUGCAUUAUGCAUCUUGGGGCAAGAAGGCCUAUACCUUGAGCAAUCAAUGGUGCUAAUUUGACGGCAGUAAAUGCUUGAAGGAGAGACUGAUUUGGAGAUUCAAUGAAUGCAUGGGCAUGUUUGGUUUUUUUUCUGAUUAGCUGGCUUGUUCAUGUCUAACUUGAACAACAAAAUGUAGAACACUCCGGAUACUAGCAAGUUGCUUUUGAGGAAGUUGAAUGGGGACAUGCAAACAAGGAAAACAUUUCUCUA